rnacentral:rRNA from 1 species
UCGUAACAAGGUUUCCGUAGGUGAACCUGCGGAAGGAUCAUUAUUGAAAUAAACCUGAUGGGUUGUUGCUGGUUCUCUAGGGAGCAUGUGCACGCCUUGUCAUUUUUAUAUCUCCACCUGUGCACCUUUUGUAGGCCUUUUAGGUCUAUGUUGCUUUUUCAUUUACCCCAAUGUAUGUUUAUAGAAUGUUGUGCAUAUAAAAUCUAUACAACUUUCAGCAACGGAUCUCUUGGCUCUCGCAUCGAUGAAGAACGCAGCGAAAUGCGAUAAGUAAUGUGAAUUGCAGAAUUCAGUGAAUCAUCGAAUCUUUGAACGCACCUUGCGCUCCUUGGUAUUCCGAGGAGCAUGCCUGUUUGAGUGUCAUUAAUAUAUAUCAACCUUCUCAUUUAUGAGUGGUUUGGAUGUGGGGGUUUGCUGGCCUCUUAAAUGAGUUCAGCUCCUCUGAAAUGCAUUAGCAGAACAACCUUGUUCAUUGGCGUGAUAACUAUCUACGCUAUUGAAUGUGAGGGACAGUUCAGCUUUCUAACAGUCCUUGGACAACUUAUCAUUAAUGUGACCUCAAAUCAGGUAGGACUACCCGCUGAACUUAAGCAUAUCAAUAAGCGGAGGAAAAGAAACUAACAAGGAUUCCCCUAGUAACUGCGAGUGAAGCGGGAAAAGCUCAAAUUUAAAAUCUGGCA